rnacentral:tRNA from 1 species
GGGCUUGUGGUCUAACGGUAUGGUUUCCGAAGUGCAAAUUAAAUUCGAAGUUAAUAAAUUCAGGUAUGAUUUUCCCUUAGCAUGGGAGAGGUCCGGGGUUCAACUCCCCGCAAGUCCA